rnacentral:misc_RNA from 1 species
GAAAUGCGAUAAGUAGUGUGAAUUGCAGAAUUCAGUGAAUCAUCGAAUCUUUGAACGCACAUUGCGCCCCUUGGUAUUCCAUGGGGCAUGCCUGUUCGAGCGUCAUUUGUACCCUCAAGCUCUGCUUGGUGUUGGGUGUUUGUCCCCGUCUCCGCGCGUGGACUCGCCCCAAAGUGAUUGGCAGCCGGCGUACUGGUCCCGGAGCGCAGCACAUGUCGCGCAAACGAGUGCCUUGGUACGGCGGCGUCCAUAAGCCCCUCUCUCACGCUCUUGACCUCGGAUCAGGUAGGGAUACCCGCUGAACUUACGC